rnacentral:rRNA from 1 species
AAUAUUCGACAAUGGGGGAAACCCUGAUCGAGCAAUGCCGCGUGAGUGAUGAAGGUCUUACGACUGUAAAACUCUGUUAUAGAGGAAGAACAACCAUUAUAGGUAAUGAUGAUGGUCUGACGGUACUCUAUCAGAAAGCCCCGGCUAACUACGUGCCAGCAGCCGCGGUAAUACGUAGGGGGCGAGCGUUGUCCGGAAUUAUUGGGCGUAAAGGGUUCGUAGGCGGUCUUGUAAGUCAGAUGUGAAAGGUCACGGCUCAACCGUGGUAAGCAUUUGAAACUGAGAGACUUGAGUUAAGGAGAGGAAAGUGGAAUUCCUAGUGUAGCGGUGAAAUGCGUAGAUAUUAGGAGGAAUACCAGUGGCGAAGGCGACUUUCUGGACUUAAACUGACGCUGAGGAACGAAAGCGUGGGGAGCAAACAGG